rnacentral:rRNA from 1 species
CCUACGGGUGGCAGCAGUGGGGAAUAUUGCACAAUGGGGGGAACCCUGAUGCAGCGACGCCGCGUGGGUGAAGGAGUAUUUCGGUAUGUAAAGCCCUAUCAGCAGGGAAGAACAAUGACGGUACCUGACUAAGAAGCCCCGGCUAACUACGUGCCAGCAGCCGCGGUAAUACGUAGGAUGCGAGCGUUAUCCGGAUUUAUUGGGUUUAAAGGGUGCGCAGGCGGGAGAUCAAGUCAGCGGUAAACUGUCGGGGCUCAACCCCGGCCGGCCGUUGAAACUGGUUUUCUAGAGUUGGAGAGAAGUAUGCGGAAUUCGUGGUGUAGCGGUGAAAUGCAUAGAUAUCACGAAGAACUCCGAUUGCGAAGGCAGCAUACCGGCUCCAUACUGACGCUGAGGCACGAAAGCGUGGGGAUCGAACAGGAUUAGAUACCCCUGUAGUC